AUGGGCUCCGAGACAGGCUGUUCGCGCACGGCUCUUGCAAAAAUCCCCAUUUCGUCCGCAUUCAGCCGGCUAAGGCUGUCACUACAAGAUUGUCUUCAAAUUAAGGGUGUUCCCAUUCUGUGAAGUGAAUGGAAAUUCCAUUGCUGUGCUGAUGGUGCACUACAACUCACUGAAAGAGGGAUGUCACUUACAGUACUUAAUUCCUACAGUAAUACUGUCUUGUUUCUGGAGUACAUAAUUUGAUAUAUCCUUAUUUUUUAUCCUGCAGUCAGUCUUUAGUCUGAAGAGGUGUGAGCAGGAAGUGGGUCAGUUCAUGGGUUUCAAAAAUAGGAACAAUGUAGUUGAAAUACUUGCCAUCAAAAAAGAUGUUGACUGCAGGCUUUGAUUCGAAUAUAAGGAUAAAUGUCAGUACAUAAGAUGUUUGAUUGAUAUGUUUAUUCAAAUAUUUCAUUUGGUAAAAAAACAGCAUUGUAAAGCACUCCAGAUGUCUAAAUGGCUUGAAACUUGAACCAAGUUAAAAUAGAAAACAACAACAAUAAUAUUUAAAAAAUGGUCGUUGGAUGAUAAACAAUAAUGGUUCUGAUAUUGUUGCACUCAUUUAAAGGCAUUUGCAGUGUUGAGCAAUUUAAUUUUUUUAAAGAAAAAACAUUUUUUUCUG